rnacentral:rRNA from 1 species
AUUGAACGCUGGCGGCAUGCCUUACACAUGCAAGUCGAACGGCAGCACGGGUGCUUGCCCCUGGUGGCGAGUGGCGAACGGGUGAGUAAUACAUCGGAACAUGUCCUGUAGUGGGGGAUAGCCCGGCGAAAGCCGGAUUACUACCGCAUACGAUCUACGGAUGAAAGCGGGGGACCUUCGGGCCUCGCGCUUUAGGGUUGGCCGAUGGCUGAUUAGCUAGUUGGUGGGGUAAAGGCCUACCAAGGCGACGAUCAGUAGCUGGUCUGAGAGGACGACCAGCCACACUGGGACUGAGACACGGCCCAGACUCCUACGGGAGGCAGCAGUGGGGAAUUUUGGACAAUGGGCGAAAGCCUGAUCCAGCAAUGCCGCGUGUGUGAAGAAGGCCUUCGGGUUGUAAAGCACUGUUGUCCGGAAAGAAAUCCUUGGCCCUAAUACGGUCGGGGGAUGACGGUACCGGAAGAAUAAGCACCGGCUAACUACGUG